GGCGAGGCGGGGCGGGGGCGCGGACACCCGAGCUGGGCGGGCUGGGCGGCAGGGGGCGCAGCGGCCAGACAGCGGUUGGCGGGGACCCUGGUCCUCCCCGGCGUCGGCCCGCGCCCCUACCCCUCGACCCCUGGCGUCGGGAGCUCGGAGCCCCAGAAACCGGAGGCGGGACCCCUAGCCCGACGCCCGCGGAGGCCGCUUCCCGCGAGGCCGCCGGGUCCUGGGCUGCGCUGACCGCGUCCCCGUGGACCGGUGAUCCGGGUUUGUUCCCGUCGUCGUCGCCCGAGCAGUCGGGGCGCAGUCGCGGCGCCAGCUUCCCCACGACGACCGUGCCGCCCUCGCGACAGCGUGACCGACGCGCUCCCGCGGUCCGACGGGGCCGGGCGGUGUGGACGCCGUCCUACCCGACCCCAAGAAGCGCGCCCCGGCAAUGCAGUUUCUGCCCCAAAGCCACGUGACCGAGGUCUCGGCCGCCGCGUCCUGCCGAAUUCCAGGGAAGCUCCUGGAAGGAAAUAAAGUCUGGACUAUCCAGAAAGGCUCUUCUCCUGGCGCGUGCACACCCCCGCCCCGCGUAUUCCUCCCCAAGGCGGAGCACGCAGAUGUGUUGGUGCGUCCGCUGAGCCGGGUGGUCCCCCCGCAGCAUCGGCCCCAAAGGCACCUCCCAGCCCCUCUUGCAUCGCCCGUGCUCUCCAAGGCCUCAGAGCAGAGGUCUGCGGGGCUCGGGGGCUGACUCCUGGUUCUUGGCAGGCCUGCCCCGACAGCGAUCACCGGCCAGCGAGGAUCUGGAUGUCUGCAGCUCACGUCCUGGAGGGCCAGGUAAGGCUCCUCCUCCUCGGCCCCACCUGGUGCCCUGGAAGGCGGUACCCGUGUCUGCACAGCACCCCUCUCUGUUG
rnacentral:lncRNA from 1 species